rnacentral:rRNA from 1 species
CCAUUAGAUGUUCUGGGCCGCACGCGUGCUACACUGAGUGGAUCAGCGGGUCAGGUUGCGCGAAAGUGUUUCCUAAUCUUGAAAUCCGCUCGUGAUGGGGAUUGACGGUUGCAAUUUUCCGUCAUGAACGAGGAAUACCUUGUAAGCGCGGGUCAUCAUCCCGCGCUGAAUACGUCCCUGCCCUUUGUACACACCGCCCGUCGCUCCUACCGAUUGAGUGGUCCGGUGAGGCUUUGGGAUCUGAGCGGAAAGAGCGUUUCGCUGUUUCUGCUCGGAAAACUCAGUCGAACCUUAUCAUUUAGAGGAAGGAGAAGUCGUAACA